rfam:Perkinsus marinus ATCC 50983 gcontig_1104296296478, whole genome shotgun sequence.
GAGAGUUUGGCCGAAUGGUCUAAGGCGCUGGCUUAACGCGCCAGUCCGAAAGGGCGUGGGUUCGAACCCCACAGCUGUCA